rnacentral:rRNA from 1 species
AUACAUGCAAGUCGAGCGAACAGAUAAGGAGCUUGCUCCUUUGACGUUAGCGGCGGACGGGUGAGUAACACGUGGGUAACCUACCUAUAAGACUGGAAUAACUUCGGGAAACCGAAGCUAAUGCCGGAUAACAUGUAGAACCGCAUGGUUCUACAGUGAAAGAUGGCCUUGCUAUCACUUAUAGAUGGACCCGCGCCGUAUUAGCUAGUUGGUAAGGUAACGGCUUACCAAGGCAACGAUACGUAGCCGACCUGAGAGGGUGAUCGGCCACACUGGAACUGAGACACGGUCCAGACUCCUACGGGAGGCAGCAGUAGGGAAUCUUCCGCAAUGGGCGAAAGCCUGACGGAGCAACGCCGCGUGAGUGAUGAAGGUCUUCGGAUCGUAAAGCUCUGUUAUUAGGGAAGAACAAGUGCGUAAGUAACUGUGCGCACCUUGACGGUACCUAAUCAGAAAGCCACGGCUAACUACGUGCCAGCAGCCGCGGUAAUACGUAGGUGGCAAGCGUUAUCCGGAAUUAUUGGGCGUAAAGCGCGCGUAGGCGGUUUCUUAAGUCUGAUGUGAAAGCCCACGGCUCAACCGUGGAGGGUCAUUGGAAACUGGGAGACUUGAGUGCAGAAAAGGAAAGUGGAAUUCCAUGUGUAGCGGUGAAAUGCGCAGAGAUAUGGAGGAACACCAGUGGCGAAGGCGACUUUCUGGUCUGUGACUGACGCUGAUGUGCGAAAACGUGGGGAUCAAACACGAUUAGAUACCCUGGUAGUCCACCCCGUAAACGAUGAGUGCUAAGUGUUA